AUAGCCUAGUGGUAAAGGCUAUGGAUCGCCAAUCCGGAGAUGGCGGGUUCGAUUCCCGUU
rfam:Aedes albopictus isolate Foshan contig56223, whole genome shotgun sequence.